GCUCCUCCUCUGCUCAACUGGACAUUAGCAGGGCCGUUUCUCACGCUUCUCCUUCCUCUCUCCCCACUGCUGGACAGCAGCCGCUGUCCUCUUUCUUCUCCUCCCCUCUGGGUUCAUGCCCCAAGGCGCCGCAACCUCGCGCGCUGGGCUCAGCUUUGCCCUGUGGCAGUGCCACCGGAGCCAGAUCAGAUUGCUGGCAUCUGCCUUGGGGCAGCCCUGCCUUCUCCUCAGAGGCCACCGUCAACCUCCACUGACGGCACCUACACCCCCUACACGUCUAUAGGAACACACGUCUUGUAACACCUGAGCACGUCCUGCUCCAAAGGGACUAGCCAGCCGGUCCGAGGGAGAUGGCAGAAAAUGACAGCUGCUAAAAACAAAGGCCGCUCAGCCAAUCACUGAGCGCUACGCAAACCCGUGGCUUACAAAGUGCCACAAAAUGGAGGCUCCCCCCUAUGGAAUGUGGACUGAAACAAAAUGGCGCCCCUGCAGUUUCACAAAAUGGCGGCAGCUCCCUGUGAAAGGCAGACUGAAAGAAAAUGGCGCCUCCCUAUGUAGGUAAAGGGGAGGGAUUUCCUGUCCGGGCCACCCCUCCCUUUGGGCAGGCCCAGUAGCGCUGGGACCUCCCCUUCACUCCCAAAACAUUCCUUGCCCUGGCAUGCACUCUGCGCAGUGUGCCUCCAGCUGGUAGCUGGGAAGAGCUGCAGGAUGGAGGCGCCGCUCAGCAGAGCACCACCACCCGCAGAAGCAGCAGCAGCAGCAGCAGCUGCACGCUCCACACUGCUCGGCGUCUCGCCGGCCGAGCGGUAGGGGGAGCUCAUCUGCCCGCUGUGUGUAGUCAGGUGAGCCUGAAGCGGUAAAGUCGGCGAGCGGGACCCCAGAUAGCGGUGAGCGUGGGGAGGUGUUUGUUGGCCCCUUUCUAGGCGGCCAGGUGGGCCCUUCCUGUUCUUCACCGGGAAGGUGAGAGAACAAGUGACCUGCACACCCUGACCGUGUUUGUGCGAUUUGAACUGCUGUGGUGCUUGUGUCCAGGUGCUUUCUUUUCUCGGCGUUACAGGUCACGUGCCGGGCAAGAAAACACAGCCGCUGCAAAAACAAAUGCGGCUGGUAGAACAGUCUUGCGCCCACCUGGUGCACGGGUCACUUAGUGAUGGCCUUAAGCAAUCCUUCCGCUUGCCAUAUGCACACGCCGGGAGUCACCUGAGCUUUCGGCACAAAGGCUGGGGCAGAUGUAACCACCACUUUCUGCUGCUGAGGAGCUCCUCCAACCAAUGCUGUCUUUCCUGGGUGUGCCUGCUGAAUUUCUGCAUUCACGCAGUUCAGCAAAAGCUUGUCUGGAAAGAACAGACUGCCCCGUUGACGCCCACGCUUUUAGGAGUACGUACACGUAUCUAAUGUUGUUAUUAUCUUGAUACACGUGUGUCUGUUUGCUAGCGUUGUCGUGGUUUAGCCCCGCAGACUGAUAAACAGCCCUGUCUCACCGGCCCCAGGUCGGGAGCGGGGACAAAGGCGGGAAGGCAACGGUGCGAGAACUCAGGGGGCUGAGAGCAAGACACCGUACUAGGGAAAGCAAAAACCAGGCCCGCACAACCAGGAAAACGGGGGACACAUUCCCUGCAUGCCAUCGGCAGGCCGAUAUUCAGCCACAUCCAGGAACAGCGCGCUCAGUGCACGUAACCAUCUCUUGGGAAGGCAAGAGCAUCCAUCCCACCAUGACCCAUUCCUCCUGCUUGACACACGCUUUCAUUGCCGAGCGUGACAUCCCGGCCCGUUUGGGCCGGCUGUGUGGCUCCGUCUCCUGGCUGUGGCUGCUCCCAGCUUCUGCUCUGUCCCCUGCCUCCUCGCUGGAUGAACAGCACAAGAAGCAGAAAAGUCCUUGGCUCUGUGCAAGCACUGCUCUGCAGCAGCCAAAAGCACGCGUGUGUUAGCACCUCUGUUUUCACGAAAAGAAUCCAAUAACCAGCACCCGUGAGACUCUGCCAGGCCACGGCACUCAAUCCCAGGCCAAAUCACAACAACUAAAGUACUGCAGUCAGAGAGCAGUGCAGUCUCGGGAGCACCUACUUGUAAGGAAAUGAAAUAGAUUUACUAGCAUGUACCAAGUGCGCUCUCUAGAUGUCGAUGAGAGUGCAUUUUGCUGUACGGCUCCCAGCUUGGCCGGCAGCCCCUUGCCAUCACAGCCCCCCUCUAACUCUCUGUCCUCUGCAGGAUCGGGUGCACAGUAAGUUGGGCAAUCUCCAGCGUUAACACUAACACAGGGAGCUCACUAUACCAAUCACCCUCACAGGCAAAACAAUCUCAACGCGCACUGAGUGGAUUUACAUUACUGCCAAUUGCAAACAGCGGCGGACAGCAAGGAACAAAACCACUUUCCACCUCUCCUCCUCUCGCUACUUCCCAGGCUCCCUUUCUCUCCUUAAUACUCAGUUCCCAGACCUCACCUCCCCACGUGCCUGCCUCGGGACCCACAGCCAUCACAGGCGGUCCGUCACAGCUCCUCCCUGAUGCUCCUUCCUCCUAACACUUCUCCCCAGCACCCACGCGGGCAAACGGAGGGCUGCUGCUUCCCUCGGGACACAUCAGCCUGCUCUGGCAUGCUCUCCUCCUUGGGCUGCAGGGGAAGCUCUGCUCCAGCUCCUGGAGCACCUCUUCCCGCUCCUCCCGCUCCUCCUGCUCUGCCUCCUCCUCCUCCCGGUCCUCAUCCUUCUCCCACCUCAGCCUGCCCCUCCUCUUGCCCCUCCUCUCCCUCCUCCUCCUGCUCCUCCUCCCGACCCACCUCCUGCUCCUCCUCUGCUCAACUGGACAUUAGCAGGGCCGUUUCUCACGCUUCUCCUUCCUCUCUCCCCACUGCUGGACAGCAGCCGCUGUCCUCUUUCUUCUCCUCCCCUCUGGGUUCAUGCCCCAAGGCGCCGCAACCUCGCGCGCUGGGCUCAGCUUUGCCCUGUGGCAGUGCCACCGGAGCCAGAUCAGAUUGCUGGCAUCUGCCUUGGGGCAGCCCUGCCUUCUCCUCAGAGGCCACCGUCAACCUCCACUGACGGCACCUACACCCCCUACACGUCUAUAGGAACACACGUCUUGUAACACCUGAGCACGUCCUGCUCCAAAGGGACUAGCCAGCCGGUCCGAGGGAGAUGGCAGAAAAUGACAGCUGCUAAAACAAAGGCCGCUCAGCCAAUCACUGAACGCUACGCAAACCCGUGGCUUACAAAGUGCCACAAAAUGGAGGCUCCCCCCUAUGGAAUGUGGACUGAAACAAAAUGGCGCCCCUGCAGUUUCACAAAAUGGCGGCAGCUCCCUGUGAAAGGCAGACUGAAAGAAAAUGGCGCCUCCCUAUGUAGGUAAAGGGGAGGGAUUUCCUGUCCGGGCCACCCCUCCCUUUGGGCAGGCCCAGUAGCGCUGGGACCUCCCCUUCACUCCCAAAACAUUCCUUGCCCUGGCAUGCACUCUGCGCAGUGUGCCUCCAGCUGGUAGCUGGGAAGAGCUGCAGGAUGGAGGCGCCGCUCAGCAGAGCACCACCACCCGCAGAAGCAGCAGCAGCAAGCAGCAGCUGCACGCUCCAAACUGCUCGGCGUCUCGCCGGCCGAGCGGUAGGGGGAGCUCAUCUGCCCGCUGUGUGUAGUCAGGUGAGCCUGAAGCGGUAAAGUCGGCGAGCGGGACCCCAGAUAGCGGUGAGCGUGGGGAGGUGUUUGUUGGCCCCUUUCUAGGCGGCCAGGUGGGCCCUUCCUGUUCUUCACCGGGAAGGUGAGAGAACAAGUGACCUGCACACCCUGACCGUGUUUGUGCGAUUUGAACUGCUGUGGUGCUUGUGUCCAGGUGCUUUCUUUUCUCGGCGUUACAGGUCACGUGCCGGGCAAGAAAACACAGCCGCUGCAAAAACAAAUGCAGCUGGUAGAACAGUCUUGUGCCCACCUGGUCCACGGGUCACUUAGUGAUGGCCUUAAGCAAUCCUUCCGCUUGCCAUAAGCGCACGCCGGGAGUCACCUGAGCUUUCGGCACAAAGGCUGGGGCAGAUGUAACCACCACUUUCUGCUGCUGAGGAGCUCCUCCAACCAAUGCUGUCUUUCCUGGGUGUGCCUGCUGAAUUUCUGCAUUCACGCAGUUCAGCAAAAGCUUGUCUGGAAAGAACAGACUGCCCCGUUGACGCCCACGCUUUUAGGAGUACGUACACGUAUCUAAUGUUGUUAUUAUCUUGAUACACGUGUGUCUGUUUGCUAGCGUUGUCGUGGUUUAGCCCCGCAGACUGAUAAACAGCCCUGUCUCACCGGCCCCAGGUCGGGAGCGGGGACAAAGGCGGGAAGGCAACGGUGCGAGAACUCAGGGGGCUGAGAGCAAGACACCGUACUAGGGAAAGCAAAAACCAGGCCCGCACAACCAGGAAAACGGGGGACACAUUCCCUGCAUGCCAUCGGCAGGCCGAUAUUCAGCCACAUCCAGGAACAGCGCGCUCAGUGCACGUAACCAUCUCUUGGGAAGGCAAGAGCAUCCAUCCCACCAUGACCCAUUCCUCCUGCUUGACACACGCUUUCAUUGCCGAGCGUGACAUCCCGGCCCGUUUGGGCCGGCUGUGUGGCUCCGUCUCCUGGCUGUGGCUGCUCCCAGCUUCUGCUCUGUCCCCUGCCUCCUCGCUGGAUGAACAGCACAAGAAGCAGAAAAGUCCUUGGCUCUGUGCAAGCACUGCUCUGCAGCAGCCAAAAGCACGCGUGUGUUAGCACCUCUGUUUUCACGAAAAGAAUCCAAUAACCAGCACCCGUGAGACUCUGCCAGGCCACGGCACUCAAUCCCAGGCCAAAUCACAACAACUAAAGUACUGCAGUCAGAGAGCAGUGCAGUCUCGGGAGCACCUACUUGUAAGGAAAUGAAAUAGAUUUACUAGCAUGUACCAAGUGCGCUCUCUAGAUGUCGAUGAGAGUGCAUUUUGCUGUACGGCUCCCAGCUUGGCCGGCAGCCCCUUGCCAUCACAGCCCCCCUCUAACUCUCUGUCCUCAGCAGGAUCGGGUGCACAGUAAGUUGGGCAAUCUCCAGCGUUAACACUAACACAGGGAGCUCACUAUACCAAUCACCCUCACAGGCAAAACAAUCUCAACGCGCACUGAGUGGAUUUACAUUACUGCCAAUUGCAAACAGCGGCGGACAGCAAGGAACAAAACCACUUUCCACCUCUCCUCCUCUCGCUACUUCCCAGGCUCCCUUUCUCUCCUUAAUACUCAGUUCCCAGACCUCACCUCCCCACGUGCCUGCCUCGGGACCCACAGCCAUCACAGGCGGUCCGUCACAGCUCCUCCCUGAUGCUCCUUCCUCCUAACACUUCUCCCCAGCACCCACGCGGGCAAACGGAGGGCUGCUGCUUCCCUCGGGACACAUCAGCCUGCUCUGGCAUGCUCUCCUCCUUGGGCUGCAGGGGAAGCUCUGCUCCAGCUCCUGGAGCACCUCUUCCCGCUCCUCCCGCUCCUCCUGCUCUGCCUCCUCCUCCUCCCGGUCCUCAUCCUUCUCCCACCUCAGCCUGCCCCUCCUCUUGCCCCUCCUCUCCCUCCUCCUCCUGCUCCUCCUCCCGACCCACCUCCUGCUCCUCCUCUGCUCAACUGGACAUUAGCAGGGCCGUUUCUCACGCUUCUCCUUCCUCUCUCCCCACUGCUGGACAGCAGCCGCUGUCCUCUUUCUUCUCCUCCCCUCUGGGUUCAUGCCCCAAGGCGCCGCAACCUCGCGCGCUGGGCUCAGCUUUGCCCUGUGGCAGUGCCACCGGAGCCAGAUCAGAUUGCUGGCAUCUGCCUUGGGGCAGCCCUGCCUUCUCCUCAGAGGCCACCGUCAACCUCCACUGACGGCACCUACACCCCCUACACGUCUAUAGGAACACACGUCUUGUAACACCUGAGCACGUCCUGCUCCAAAGGGACUAGCCAGCCGGUCCGAGGGAGAUGGCAGAAAAUGACAGCUGCUAAAACAAAGGCCGCUCAGCCAAUCACUGAGCGCUACGCAAACCCGUGGCUUACAAAGUGCCACAAAAUGGAGGCUCCCCCCUAUGGAAUGUGGACUGAAACAAAAUGGCGCCCCUGCAGUUUCACAAAAUGGCGGCAGCUCCCUGUGAAAGGCAGACUGAAAGAAAAUGGCGCCUCCCUAUGUAGGUAAAGGGGAGGGAUUUCCUGUCCGGGCCACCCCUCCCUUUGGGCAGGCCCAGUAGCGCUGGGACCUCCCCUUCACUCCCAAAACAUUCCUUGCCCUGGCAUGCACUCUGCGCAGUGUGCCUCCAGCUGGUAGCUGGGAAGAGCUGCAGGAUGGAGGCGCCGCUCAGCAGAGCACCACCACCCGCAGAAGCAGCAGCAGCAGCAGCAGCUGCACGCUCCACACUGCUCGGCGUCUCGCCGGCCGAGCGGUAGGGGGAGCUCAUCUGCCCGCUGUGUGUAGUCAGGUCACGUGCCGGGCAAGAAAACACAGCCGCUGCAAAAACAAAUGCGGCUGGUAGAACAGUCUUGUGCCCACCUGGUCCACGGGUCACUUAGUGAUGGCCUUAAGCAAUCCUUCCGCUUGCCAUAAGCGCACGCCGGGAGUCACCUGAGCUUUCGGCACAAAGGCUGGGGCAGAUGUAACCACCACUUUCUGCUGCUGAGGAGCUCCUCCAACCAAUGCUGUCUUUCCUGGGUGUGCCUGCUGAAUUUCUGCAUUCACGCAGUUCAGCAAAAGCUUGUCUGGAAAGAACAGACUGCCCCGUUGACGCCCACGCUUUUAGGAGUACGUACACGUAUCUAAUGUUGUUAUUAUCUUGAUACACGUGUGUCUGUUUGCUAGCGUUGUCGUGGUUUAGCCCCGCAGACUGAUAAACAGCCCUGUCUCACCGGCCCCAGGUCGGGAGCGGGGACAAAGGCGGGAAGGCAACGGUGCGAGAACUCAGGGGGCUGAGAGCAAGACACCGUACUAGGGAAAGCAAAAACCAGGCCCGCACAACCAGGAAAACGGGGGACACAUUCCCUGCAUGCCAUCGGCAGGCCGAUAUUCAGCCACAUCCAGGAACAGCGCGCUCAGUGCACGUAACCAUCUCUUGGGAAGGCAAGAGCAUCCAUCCCACCAUGACCCAUUCCUCCUGCUUGACACACGCUUUCAUUGCCGAGCGUGACAUCCCGGCCCGUUUGGGCCGGCUGUGUGGCUCCGUCUCCUGGCUGUGGCUGCUCCCAGCUUCUGCUCUGUCCCCUGCCUCCUCGCUGGAUGAACAGCACAAGAAGCAGAAAAGUCCUUGGCUCUGUGCAAGCACUGCUCUGCAGCAGCCAAAAGCACGCGUGUGUUAGCACCUCUGUUUUCACGAAAAGAAUCCAAUAACCAGCACCCGUGAGACUCUGCCAGGCCACGGCACUCAAUCCCAGGCCAAAUCACAACAACUAAAGUACUGCAGUCAGAGAGCAGUGCAGUCUCGGGAGCACCUACUUGUAAGGAAAUGAAAUAGAUUUACUAGCAUG